rnacentral:tRNA from 2 species
GCCGACUUAGCUCAGUAGGUAGAGCAACUGACUUGUAAUCAGUAGGU